rnacentral:rRNA from 1 species
GGGAGGGGAGUGAAAUAGAACCUGAAACCCUGCACUUACAAGCUGUGGGAGCACAUUACUUGUGUGACCGCGUACUUUUUGUAGAACGGGCCAACGAGUUACGUUAAGUAGCAAGGUUAAGCACUUAAGGUGUGGAGCCGUAGCGAAAGCGAGUCUUAAAUGGGCGAUUAAGUUACUUGGCGUAGACCCGAAACCGGGCGACCUAUCCAUGAGCAGGUUGAAGCGAAAGUAAAAUUUCGUGGAGGACCGAACCCACGAGCGUUGAAAAGCUCGGGGAUGACUUGUGGAUAGCGGUGAAAUUCCAAUCGAGCCCGGAGAUAGCUGGUUCUCCCCGAAAUAGCUUUAGGGCUAGCCUCAAGCGUAGAGAAACGGAGGUAGAGCACUGAAUGUCCUAGGGGGUAUUGCACUUACCGAAGACUAUCAAACUCCGAAUGCCGUUUUCUUUUACUUGGGAGUCAGACUGUGGGUGAUAAGAUUCAUAGUCAAAAGGGCAACAGCCCAGAUCGUCAGCUAAGGUCCCUAAAUGUACGUUAAGUGGUAAAGGAUGUGGGAUUGCACAGACAACCAGGAUGUUGGCUUAGAAGCAGCCACUCAUUUAAAGAGUGCGUAAUAGCUCACUGGUCGAGUGAUCCUGCGCCGAAAAUUUCCGGGGCUAAAACGUACUACCGAAGCUACGGCAUCAUUUAUGAUGGGUAGGGGAGCUUCGUAUGCAGGCUGAAGCAUGACCGUAAGGACAUGUGGACAGUAUACGAGUGAGAAUGUUGGCAUGAGUAGCGAGACGUGGGUGAGAAUCCCACGGGCCGUAAACCCAAGGUUUCCAGGGGAAGGUUCGUCCGCCCUGGGUUAGUCGGGACCUAAGCCGAGGCCGAAAGGCGUAGGUGAUGGACAACAGGUUGAUAUUCCUGUACCGCCAAUAAGCGUUUGAGAGAUGGAGUGACACAGUAGGAUAAGCUAACCGUACUGUUGGUUAUGUACGGCUAAGCAUUGAGGCAGUCUAAAUAGGCAAAUCCGUUUAGAUAAUGCUAGGAUGUGAUGGGGAAGCCCUUCGGGGCGAAGUAGCUGAUUUCACACUGUCAAGAAAAGCUUCUAUCGAGUUUAAAGGCGCCCGUACCGUAAACCGACACAGGUGGGUGAGGAGAGUAUCCUAAGGCCAGCGAGAGAACUAUUGUUAAGGAACUCGGCAAAAUGACCCCGUAACUUAGGGAGAAGGGGUGCCUGUCUAUGACAGGCCGCAGAGAAUAGGCCCAAGCGACUGUUUACCAAAAACACAGGUUUCUGCUAAGUCGCAAGACGAUGUAUAGGAGCUGACGCCUGCCCGGUGCUGGAAGGUUAAGGGGAUCUGUUAGAGCAAUCGAAGCAGUGAACUUAAGCCCCAGUAAACGGCGGCCGUAACUAUAACGGUCCUAAGGUAGCGAAAUUCCUUGUCGGGUAAGUUCCGACCCGCACGAAAGGCGUAACGAUUUGGGCACUGUCUCAACAAUAGACUCGGUGAAAUUGUAAUCCCGGUGAAGAUGCCGGGUACCUGCGACAGGACGGAAAGACCCCAUGGAGCUUUACUGUAGCUUGACGUUGGGUCUUGGUACUACAUGUACAGGAUAGGUGGGAGACUAUGAAGCAUGGACGCCAGUCUGUGUGGAGUCAUCCUUGGGAUACCACCCUUGUAGUACUGGGAUCCUAACCAUAGGCCUUGAAUCAGGUCUUGGAACACCGUCAGGUGGGCAGUUUGACUGGGGCGGUCGCCUCCUAAAAAGUAACGGAGGCGCUCAAAGGUUUCCUCAGCACGGUCGGAAAUCGUGCGAAGAGUGUAAAGGCAAAAGGAAGCUUGAUUGCAAGACAUACAGGUCGAGCAAGGACGAAAGUCGGACUUAGUGAUCCGGUGGUACCGCAUGGAAGGGCCAUCGCUCAACGGAUAAAA